GAUGAACGCUGGCGGCGUGCCUAAUACAUGCAAGUCGAGCGAACGGACGAGAAGCUUGCUUCUCUGAUGUUAGCGGCGGACGGGUGAGUAACACGUGGAUAACCUACCUAUAAGACUGGGAUAACUUCGGGAAACCGUAGCUAAUACCGGAUAAUAUUUUGAACCGCAUGGUUCAAAAGUGAAAGACGGUCUUGCUGUCACUUAUAGAUGGAUCCGCGCUGCAUUAGCUAGUUGGUAAGGUAACGGCUUACCAAGGCAACGAUGCAUAGCCGACCUUAGAGGGUGAUCGGCCACACUGGAACUGAGACACGGUCCAGACUCCUACGGGAGGCAGCAGUAGGGAAUCUUCCGCAAUGGGCGAAAGCCUGACGGAGCAACGCCGCGUGAGUGAUGAAGGUCUUCGGAUCGUAAAACUCUGUUAUUAGGGAAGAACAUAUGUGUAAGUAACUGUGCACAUCUUGACGGUACCUAAUCAGAAAGCCACGGCUAACUACGUG
rnacentral:rRNA from 1 species